rnacentral:rRNA from 1 species
AACGAACGCUGGCGGCAGGCUUAACACAUGCAAGUCGAGCGCCCCGCAAGGGGAGCGGCAGACGGGUGAGUAACGCGUGGGAACGUACCCUUUGCUACGGAAUAGCUCCGGGAAACUGGAAUUAAUGCCGUAUGUGCCCUACGGGGGAAAGAUUUAUCGGCAAAGGAUCGGCCCGCGUUGGAUUAGCUAGUUGGUGGGGUAAUGGCCUACCAAGGCGACGAUCCAUAGCUGGUCUGAGAGGAUGAUCAGCCACAUUGGGACUGAGACACGGCCCAAACUCCUACGGGAGGCAGCAGUGGGGAAUAUUGGACAAUGGGCGCAAGCCUGAUCCAGCCAUGCCGCGUGAGUGAUGAAGGCCUUAGGGUUGUAAAGCUCUUUCACCGGAGAAGAUAAUGACGGUAUCCGGAGAAGAAGCCCCGGCCAACUUCGUGCCAGCAGCCGCAGUAAAAC